GACGAACGCUGGCGGCGUGCCUAACACAUGCAAGUCGAACGGGGAUACAUUGUAGCAAUACGAUGUAUCUUAGUGGCGGACGGGUGAGUAACGCGUGAGCAACCUACCUUACAGAGGGGGAUAACACGCCGAAAGGUGUGCUAAUACCGCAUGACAUGUGGGGAUGGCAUCAUCCUUACAUCAAAGAUUUUAUCGCUGUAAGAUGGGCUCGCGUCCGAUUAGAUAGUUGGCGGGGUAAUGGCCUACCAAGUCGACGAUCGGUAGCCGGACUGAGAGGUUGAACGGCCACAUUGGGACUGAGACACGGCCCAGACUCCUACGGGAGGCAGCAGUGGGGAAUAUUGCGCAAUGGGGGAAACCCUGACGCAGCAACGCCGCGUGAAGGAAGAAGGCCUUCGGUUGUAACUUUGUCUUUGGUGUACGAUAAUGACGGUAGCCAGAGAGGAAGCCGACGGCUAACUACGUG
rnacentral:rRNA from 1 species